rnacentral:lncRNA from 1 species
UAAGACUAAGGAUCUAGGGUUUUUGAAUCCACUAGAUCUAGAUUAGAAAAUUCUACCUAGAAUUUUUUUUAUUGAUCCUAACGACUACUCCUCUUGUCUUUCCCAAGCAUAGAUUAUGAAGGGACUAAGGCCCAAUGAUAACCCAUCAAGAUUCUUUACAGGGGAGUAGUAACUAGGAUUCCUUAGGGUUUUCUCCUCCUAUGCACUGAAUCAAGCAUGAACUAUGAAGGGACUCUGACCCAACUGUAGUUCAUCAAAAAUUCUUGACAAAAGAGGAAG